AAAAAGCCAAAUAUUCUUUUGCUUAUACAAUAUUAUUGUAUUUUUGCUUUCUGUUCUGCAGCUAUUAGACUGGCAGGGUGAAAGAUUUUCAGCUACGAGUGGAACUAAUUGUCCUGCUCCAGUUGGUUAUGAAGCUAUCAACAUGGGUGACAUUAAUGAAGAAUAUCAAGUUUAGUAUCAAAACCAGACAGCAAAAUUGGCAAAUUUUAAAAUGUCAUAAUUGUUAUUCAAUAUGAAUUUUCCUGUAGGCUAUACAAUAUUGUGUUUUUUGGGGUUAUGUAUAAAAUAAUUAUUUCCAUAUAUGUAACACAACACUAUUAACUCUUUUCCAAAAACAUUUUAUGCAAAACUCAAAUGAUAAAAUAUAAGCCUAUACAUGAAGGCUUGGACAAUACUGAAACUACAGAAGGAUCAGAUGACUUCUUUUAAAUAAAAGCACAGUCAGGUAAAGGUGAGACCAUUUUGUCUAUUCAAAAGUUAUCUGUAAGUAAAUAAGCAGUAUGUGUGGGAGUCUAUGAAUAAAAAACACUACUACAGUGUCUGCUCUAAAAACAAAAUUUACUAAAUAAUGACCUGCUAACUGUUGAUACUUUUCUAGUACUAUAAACACAAUGGUUGUUAUGCUAAUGCUAAAGCUUAUACUUUCAAUUUCCUACUUUUUGAACAGAUAAACUGGUUCUUUCUUUUAAAAGAACUUGACUUGGCAGUUAUGUCAAUGUCUCAUUGUCGGUUUAGUUCUGAACCUGCUGCACUACAAAAUAUUGCAUCGCAUUAUUUUCAUUUAUCUUUAUGUAUCAGUACUUAGCAAUGUUAGCCUAGCCAAUAGUUGUUAAUGAAUGUUACUUGUUAUAAGAUUUGUCUACUAUAGCUGUUUUAUUAAAGUUUUG